rnacentral:rRNA from 1 species
GUUUUAGCCGCCGCGGUAAUACGAAGGGGGCUAGCGUUGCUCGGAAUCACUGGGCGUAAAGCGCACGUAGGCGGAUUCCUAAGUCGGGGGUGAAAUCCUGGAGCUCAACUCCAGAACUGCCUUCGAUACUGGGAAUCUUGAGUCCGGGAGAGGUGAGUGGAACUGCGAGUGUAGAGGUGAAAUUCGUAGAUAUUCGCAAGAACACCAGUGGCGAAGGCGGCUCACUGGCCCGGUACUGACGCUGAGGUGCGAAAGCGUGGGGAGCAAACAGGAUUAGAUACCCCGGUAGUCC